rnacentral:misc_RNA from 1 species
GAUGAAGAACGCAGCGAAAUGCGAUAAGUAAUGUGAAUUGCAGAAUUCAGUGAAUCAUCGAAUCUUUGAACGCACAUUGCGCCCGCUGGUAUUCCAGCGGGCAUGCCCGUUCGAGCGUCAUUUUAAUCCCUUCCCGGGAGACUCUUCUAUUCUGUAGUGGAGUGUCUACGGGGUGUUGGCAUUGGUCGCCUUAUUUUUAGGCGACCGGCGCCGAAAUGAAGUGGCGGACUCGCAGCGGCCCCUAGCGCAGUAGAAACAACCCUUCUCGCUUAGGAGAGCCGCAGCGGUGGACCAUAGCCCUACAUGCUUUUUUUUUUUUUAAAAAAAAAAGCUAUAUCUAAAAACUUGACCUCGGAUCGGGUAGGACUACCCGCUGAACUUAAGCAUAUCAAUAAGCGGAGGA